rnacentral:lncRNA from 1 species
GCGGUAUGCAAUGCGGUCGUGUUCGAUAUGUCGACAGUCAUGGAUAAUUCCGGAUGGGCCUCCAUUAAAACUCUCAAUAUCUCUGCAAUAAGGAACUGCUUUGAUUAAGUCCGAUUUCAAUGGUAAGAAGACAGAAAUUUGAGAUGAAAUUAAAUUAAACAUACCCAAAUCGCCCUGUUUUGUUGCAAUGUGAAAAGCAUCAAAUCCAUUUCUUGCUUUGAUCUCAGCAUCAGCCAGAUCGUAAUAUUUCAACAAUUCUCUUACUAAAUCAACGUAUCCGUACUCCGCCGCCACGUAUAACGCUGUUUCCCCGGAAUGAUUCUGCUUUGCCAGUAAUUCUCUCAAAUCCAUCUCAUCGGUGUCCGUCAAAAUUUCCAUCGCCGCCGUUAGAUUUCCGGCUCUCGCAGCGGAAUGUAAUGGAGUGUCGUCUCUUUUUCCCGUCAAUUGCUUCGUCAUCUUCUUCCUCGGCAAACUUGUCUCCGCCGCCGCAGGCGGCACUCUGUUUGAUUCCGACAUCAAAAUCAACGUAUUUUCUCCUCUUUUUCCAAUUUCAAUCACCAAAUUAAACUUUCUUUCUUCAAGAACCCAGAUAGAAACAUCUCAUUUUUGGUCCACGAUGAUCACUUUUAUUGAAAAAACCGGCCAAAGAAAACUAAAGAAGAAUGAAAAGCUCUUAUCAAAGCUCUGUCCUUUGGUUCCUUGAAUCUCAUUCCAAUUCUCUCUUAUGAAUCCUAAAAGCAAAAAUUCCCAAUCAAAACAAACCAAAUCUCAUUCUCCCAUUUACCCCUCAGAAAGAAAAAAAGAAAAAAAGAAAAUCCAAGAAACCAGAUUCUUGGUAUCAAAAUAAUAAAAAAGACAAAAAGAAAGGAAACCCCAUUUACGUAUGGUAAUGAAAAAAGAGGAAUCCCCCCAAAAAAUAACUUUGUGAUCAUGAACUUACAUGGUUAUAUAUACAGAAAAAAGAAAACCAAAGCUUUAUAUCACCAUUAAUGGCGAAAAGAAGAAGACAAAGAAAUAAAAAGGGUUAAGUUCAUAUAUAUUAUGAACCGAUGGAGAGGAGAGGAAGACAGCGCACAUGUAAGCAACAAAUCAUAAACAACUUUUAUUUUUCUUUUUUUCUUUUCUUAAAAAGGUGAAGUAGAGAUAUGUUUUAAGAACAAAAUGGAAAUGGAAAAGGGGUUUUGAAAAAGUUGGUGAUAAUGAAGCAGAAGAUAAAAGUUUUUGAGAUUAAAAAAAAGAAAACCAAAGGAUGAAAUUAAAAUGGAAGAAGAAAGUUGCAAAAAACUUGGGGUUCCCUUACAUUUAAUGGCAUCUCUUUAUAUUUAAAUUUGUUUUUUUAAAAAAAUAACUGAAUUAACAGAACCACGCCCCACUAAAACGAGCGUGUAACCACGCGCAUUAAUAAAUAAGAUAUGACAUUUCCAAAUGAUUACCCCUUCCCUUCCCAUUUUCAAAUAAUCAACACUUUCUCUUUCUUUCUUUCUUACUUUCCUUCUUUCUUUUUGAAAAAUAUAAAUAUUGACUCUUUAUUUUCCUAACCUUUUUUUUUUUUGUUUCUAAACAAUAUGAUAAAUCAUGAUGAGAUGUGAUGAUAGGCUAAAUAAUUGAUACUUUUUUAAUAUUGCCUUAAUUAACGUGGACAAAUAUCAUGAAUUAUUGUUAGGGAAGAAAUAGUAAGUUAACUACUUGUACUGUUUAUUUAAAUUUGGCUUUGCAUGAAUUGUCACACAUAUGGUUUGUGUUCUUAUAUGAAAAUUGGAGAGAUACCUAUUGACAUGACAUGCCCUUUCAGGAGGAUAAAUUAAUUGUGAGGAAAAAUACUUUAGGAGUUAGAUUGAGCUAAAAUGUGUGUAAAAAAUGUUUUAUAUGACAAAUUAUUUCUUAAGUAAUACUUUUGGUGAUAUUUUGGUUUCUUUAUCUCCUAUAUUUACAUUUUAUAUAAAUUUUAGAACAAAUUCACAAAUAGAAGAGUAACUAAAGUAUUUUUAUUAUUAAGUGUGAAUUACUGUAUUACUUUUUUAUAUUACUUAUUAUAUGUUAUAUAUAUACACAAUAGGGCACCGAUGUUAUGUUAUCAAGUUUAGCUUGGAUUUAUUAUGUUUUGAUAUGUGCCACUCAAAUAAUUUAACUAUAUGUUUUUUUCCCCCUUUUUUGUUGUAACGUUGGCUUUAAUUAGGGAGUGUGAAAAAGAAAUUAUUUUAUACAACAAACUUGGGCUACUAAAUUAGAUUUAUUCGAAACUUGAAUAAUUUGUUUUUUUUUUUAAUUUUAUUUUAAAAAAAGGAAAAUUGAUUUGAUUUGAUUUGAUAUGUGAACUGUGAAGAGAGAGAGAGAGACAAAAUUAGUGAUGGUUUUUAUUUCAAUUAUUGUAGAAAGGGACAUCAACCUCAUGGUUGGUUCUUUCAACAUUUUUCUCUUUUUGUCAAUUAAGAUGAAAUUAUUCUAUUUCGAGACGAGAGAAAAAAUAAAGUGGAUUAUUUUAGGUAGAGAGAUAUGUAAUAAAGAAAAAAGAAAGUGAAUUGAAAAAAUAGUUAUGAAGUUAUUCAACCUUCAUAGCUAAAACAAUAAAUAUUAUUUACAAAAACUAAAACAAUAAUAUCAUAUCUUAAAAACCAAUAUUCUUCAUGGUUAAAAAAAUGGGAAGAAAACAAGAUAUUAUCAUAUUUGAUUUUGAAAUUAUAUUUAUAUCUUCAAUUGCUUGUCUAUAUAUAACAACACAACAAACUUGACUUUGCUAUUAUUGGUAUCAACAUAAGAGGUCUCAUACCAAAUGAAUGGAAGUGACUUUUGGUCAUGAAAAUGGAUACAUCUUUUAACUUAGUGGUUAUUAGUAUAUAAUGUCAAAAACUCAAUCCCUGCCUUAUUUUAAAUAUUAUUUUAAUUGUUAGACACAUUGAAAAGCAUGUUUAAUUAAGCUUUGUCCUAAUAUAAAAUUUACAAAGGGUUAAUGAUCAUUAUUAUAUUUACCAUUUUUCUAAUGAUGAACCCUCGCUAUGUGUUGAUCCUUUUGAAUUGGGACAAUUUUGUUUGUCUCUUUCAUUGAAGAUGAAUUAAUAUAUGAUUAUGAUUUGAUGAUGUGAAUUUAAUUAAUUAGUUGUAAUUGUCAUAUUUAUAUUAGUUAUUUAAUAUAUAGUAGUAAUACUAAAAAGAAAUCAAGGAAAUUACAAAAUAAAAUGGUUGGUAGAUCUCAACAUCAUAUAUAUGUGUAUUAUUAUUAUUAAAGUGAAACAUAUUUGCAUUAAUUUAUAUAGAAAAAAGAGUUAAAAUAAUAUUAAGUGGAUAAAUUUAGAGUUAAGACAUAAGAAGUAAGGUAUGGUUUGCAUACAUAAAUACUCUCAUAAUUAAUUUAUUGAAAAAAUAAAAAAGAAAGUGUGUUAGAAUAAUUUUGGGAAUGUGAAAAACAAGUAAAAGCAUUUUUGUAAAGAAAAUGAUGGUUAAAUGUAAAUAUGAAAAGAAAUGAAGUGUGAAUUAGAAGUGGAGGAUUAGAGAAGGAUGGGUUUGAAAAAGGAAGUAAACGUUUAUAUUCAACACAACCACCCCCGGCCCCAACUCCAUCCUCUCUUUAAUAUUCUCUCUUUUGUCUUCUUUUAUUAUUUCUUCAAACAUAUAUAUAAAACUAAAUAAUAUUUAGAUUUCAAUCAUAUAUAUAUAUAUAUAUAUAUAACUAAAUCAUCUUCCAUCAUUUCAAUCAAAUUAAUAAGACUUUGAUACAUUAAAAUAUGCUUAAUUCUGGUGAGAAAAAAAUUAUUAAACAUGUUUAAAUAUUAUUAUUUGAAAACGUUGUCAUUGCUUGUAAUAUCAUCCGCUUGUUUAUUCUAAUUUAAAUAUUUUACAUAGUGUUAUUUAUUUGUUUCUUUUUACAGGUCUAAAUAAUGGACCUUUUUGUUAUUAAUUUUUUUAAGGUCACCUUUUCAACCCUUUUUUUUUUUUAAUUUUAAUUAAAAUGAAAUUAAGGAGUUUGAUUGGUAACUAUAUUUGUAAUUGAUUGAUAAUUGGUUCAACUUGAUAAUAUUAGAAUGUUUAGUGAUAACAAAUGUAUUAAGUGAAAUUUAUAACAAAUUUGUAAUUGUUUAGUCAUAUAUAAAGUGAUAGGGACUUAAUUUCUUGUACAAAUAAAAAGGUAUGGAUGACUGGUUACGUGAGUUUAGAGUACAAAACGUAGUAUAGAAAAUAAAUAUGAAAGGAAGAGUGGAGUGGGGGCCGCGGUUGCCAAUUGGAAUGCCCCACGCGCUUGACCCUCAUUGGCUUUCACUAUCAAACAAAUUAAUUCUCUUUCUUUUCUUCCUUCAUUACAUUUACAAUAUUAAUUUUUAAUUCAAACACUAAACACUAAACACUAAACACUAAACACUAAACACUAAACACCCAACACUCAACACACACACCCACUACUUUCCCUUUUUUAUUUUUAUUUUGUAGUCCAUCCAAAUCUACUCAUGUAUUUACUAAUAAUCUUGUGAUGUGUAAGAAAACAAAAUUCAAAGUAUAUAAUAGUGAAAAUAAAACAUAUGGUAAAUUUAAUAUAGAAACAAAAUAUAGUAAAGGGCGUGGUAUAGAGCCCACAUAUUUCCAUGUGUAAUAAUGGUAUCCUAAUUGGUUUUGGGUAGAAUGAGACACAAACUGAAAAGUGCAUGUGGUUUAUAUAUCCAUUAUCCAAUCAAAUACAAUAUCAUAUUAUAUACAAUACAUAAACUAACAAAUUCCAAGUCCCAACCAACUAUACAUAUAAUAUAUACAUAUAUAUAUGUACAUACAACCAAAUAAACGACCAAAACGAACAGAAUUGGAUUGGCCAUUCAAUCAAACCUCUCUUCACGGAAUAUCACAUUAAUUUAUAUAUAUAUGCAUGUAUGUAUGUAUGAACACUUUAUAAUAAUAGAACCAGCUUAUAUUUGUCUCUCUUUCUGCACUUCAUUAAACUACACCCAAUAUAUAAUCUCCAAUCCAAUUAGAGUCUUAGCUAUUCUCAAUCUCAUGCUAUGUAACAACUCAUAUUUUGCUACAUAUUACAAGUUUGGACACAUGGUUUUUGUUUCAUAAAGGUAAUCUUACUAAACUUUGUUACUUUAACUCACAAAUAUUCAACCCAUUGUUUGGUUUGCACCUUACAAUCAAAAAUGAAAACAUGAAAGGAUUUUAUGAGAUAUAUGUAUGUAUUCGGUUUGGUAUCCUUUUCAACUUUGAAUUUUGAAAAUUAAGCCUACAAAUCUCACUUUUCAUUUAUUAGUUUUCAAGUUUUGUUAACUACCAAUUUUUUUUUUUUUAAAAAAUUCAUUCUUCAUUUAGAUAAGAUUUCAACUCAUAUAAUCAUUAUGAUGCAUGUCAUUACCAAAUAGGACCUUUGAAAUUAGAUUUCAAUUUAAAUAAUUGUUUGAAAUGUGCUUCGUGAUAUAUUAAUGAAUUAUAAAAUAGUUAUCCGCUAUAAAUAAAUUGAAUAUAAAUCACUAUAAAUUAAUUUAGUAGCAUGCUUUAUGUUUAACAAAUUGUAUACUUUUUAUUCUGUAGUAUCAUAUAAUUUAAUAUAUAUAUAUAUAUGAUAUAUUUUAGUUUAGUUUAACAAAUAUAAAAAACACCAAAAUACUUUCUUAAGUUUCUCGUUUGUCUUUUUAAAAUAUAAUUCUACAUCUUUUAAAUUAAAAAAAAAAUAAAUUGCAAUACGAUGAAUACAUUAUCAAAAUUUGCACUGAGACAAAUUUCUAAUAAAGAAUCCAAAUAAUGUAUCUAAUGCAUAUUGGUUUAAUGUGUGGAGGGCUUUCUUACUCAUUCCUUUUCACUUAUCUCAUGAUUGCUCAUAGUGGAUUUUAUUCCAAAAAUAUGAUCUUAAACAAUACUCACACUAUGCAUAUCAUAUCAAUGUGAACUUUACUUUUUGGUUACGAAAGUAUCUCUAUCUUCUCACUUAUUAUUACAUUUUUUGUUCACUUUUUCUAACAUUUCUACUACUAAUGGGUGUAUUUGAGAGUGGUUUUGAGAUUGUCAAAAAUCAUUUUUUUUUCUUAUGUCAAGAUAAUUUUUUCUUCAAAUGAUGGUAUUUGGCAUUAACUAAAAUUGAUUUUAGAAAAACACAAAAUCAUUCAAAUUGAUUUUGGAGAAAUUAAGUGGUUUGCGAUUUUUGUCAGGUGAUUCAAGUCCAUCUCUCCCAAAAUGGUUAUUUAAUUUAGCUUUUGUCAAUUUUAAAUAUUUGAACAAAAUAUAACAAACACAUUGUAUAUCAUUCAAUUGUUUAUAAAACAAACAAUUAUAUAUGUUUUGAAUUUUCUUUCGAUAUCUAUAAAUAAACGGUUUAUAUAUGAACAAUGUAUAUAAGAAUUUAACAACAAAUAAAUAAAAAUAGAUUUUUACCAUAAUUAUUUCUCAAAUAAAAACUACAAUUCACUAAUUGGUUAACCGUAAGUUAAAUUUUGGAACCCAACACAAAGAUUGAAAAUAAAUUCUUAAGUAUAAAAAACCACUUAAAAAAGUGUGAUAGUAAACAUAAAUUGAUUGAUGGUUUAAAAAUCAAUUUUAGAGAAUCAAUUCUACCUGAAUCAUCAAUAUCCAACCAUUACACGCCAUAAUUUAUUUGUGCCAAACAAAGAACUAAAUCUGUGUGUAAUAUAAGAAAAGGAUAAAGUAAUAAAUUAAGCAAUAUUGAGAUUUGUAAUUCAAAAUAGGGUUGUGUUGCUGACAAUCAUAAACUAAGAGAAGAAACUACAAAAGGAAUAAAAGGAUUUGUGGUUAGGCACUCACAAGAAAACAAAUAAUAGUAUGCAAAUUGAGGGGGUUGCCAGCAAAUAGGACCGAAAGUAUUAAAUACUUCAGAACUAAGCUUCAAUAAGAGAAGAGAAUCGUGGCUACUGAAAUCAAUUAAUCCCCAAUUAUAUAUAUAUAUAUAUAUCAAUCAAACUUUUGCAUGGAUAUGUUGGUAAUUAAAAUAUUAUGGACAAAGUAUUUAUUUUUAUGAUUCUGAUAGGAAAGGAGACAAAUAAAUCACAUGGGCUGCUUUCUGUUUGUUUUUGUGUUGGUGUACCCAAUAAUUAAUUAUAAUCUUUUAUCAAAAUAUUUCAUUUUACAAUUCCUGUUUUCCAUUCAUUAAUUUUGAACCCGACAUUUUAAUAUUUCAUGACAUAUCUACACGUCAAUAAAUUAAUAUAGUAUAUUUUUUUUUAUGAAAAUCCCACAAAUGAGAUCAUUGUUAGAGAUUAUGAGGUUCGUGGUUAUCCCUUCCUCUAAUUGUACAAAAAACAUAGUGACAACUAUAAGAACAUAAAUUUUCAUUGUCCUCUUGGUAUGAAAAGUAGUUUUAGGCAAUCUUGAAUCUUCUUUAUGUCUUCUCGCCAAAGUUAAUGAUAUUCUUAAGAAAAGUCAACUCUUACACCAAUAACACAACAAGAAUUUUAAUCUUCUUUCUGUCUUCUUGCCAAAUGAUAUUCUUCAGAAAAGUCAACUCUUACACCAAUAACAUAACAAGAAUUUUGAUGAAAACAUGUAAAAAUAGGUCAACUUACCAUUUAUGUUGUUAUCAUUUUUAUUGGGUAAAAUUUGAUUCUUCUAGUUGAGUUAAAUCUCUUAAAUUAAGAUUUAAAUAUUGACAAGUUUUCUUAAGAUUUAAAUAUUGACAAGUUUUCUUACCUUUACACUUACAUCAUUUAUAUGUAUGCCAAUUAUUUUUUCUUAUCACAUCCAAAGAGAAGAUAUCACAUACUCGAGCAAAUGUAUGAGGUAAGAAACUAUCAAAAUUUGAUAAUCCGAAAUGCAUUUCAAGAUAUUUAGUAAAAUUAAUAUAAGUUUGAUACUAACUUUGAAAUUUGUCUAUUUGUUUUGGUUGUGCAUUACCAUAUUUGCAGCGGUUUGUUGCCUUUUUUUUUUUUCUUUUUUCUAGUUAAAAUUAAUUUAUUUACUUUGAUUUGUUAAGAAUAUUUUCGUAGAUCGAAGAUGUUAUUCCUUCGUUGGCCCUUUGUAUUUGGUAAUUCAUUGUUUUGGAAAGAAGAUUUUGAUAUCAGAACUUUGGAGAAAUUGUGAAUGGAACAAAUUAAAAACAAAUGAGAUGAGAGUAUCUAAAUUAAAUAAAAAUAAAGAGUAGUUUACAAACUGAUUAUUUCUUAACUAAGAUAACUUCAAAGUUAAGGUAUCUUUUUGAAUUAUUAUAAAAAAAUACAUUUGAACCUUUUCCCCCCCUUAAAAUAAGGCCCGAGGGUAUUGGUAUUAUUGAAGUUCAAAAGUAUUUUCUAUGAUUUAAUCUGAUAGAAUCUAAAUAUUAAAUGAAUAUAACAAUAGAAAAGGAUGGAAUUAAAAAAAAUAAAUUAUCUUUUGGAAGAGAAAACUAAGUUACGAAGGUGUUUAUAAAUAGUUGAAGACACAAGUUGUAUUUUCUAUAAAAAGGAACAAAAAUAAAAGAACAAAUGUGAUCCUAAAUUAGUGCGUUACACGCAUAAUAAUGUGGAAGGAAUCUUUCUAAAGGCAACAAACCGCACGUGUGGGAAGCACGGUCGUUCUUCGUAUUUGGUCCAAUUUACUUCAUAUGAAGAUGAAGUGACUUCCCUCAUAUGGGGCCCUCCAUUCUCAUUCAUAAAUAAGCAUUAUCUUUUUUUUUUAAAAAAGUUAAAAAUUAAAAUUUAAAAAUAUGAGGGAAAGAAAAGUCCACAUAUGUUAAAAAUAUUGUAAUGGGUUGUUGACUUUGGACUUUACUUGGCCAAUAAAGGUUGCUUUAUCUUACAUCUACUUGUGUUGUUGUCUAAGCUCUCAGUGUGAGAAACUGAAAAAGAAAAAAACAAUGGUCGCUUUCGCUACUUGAAGCAGUCCAAUUUUUCAGUGGGAGAUUUUGCUUGAUCCAUCAUUUUUAACAAAUGCGCAAAAGUAAACAACUGCUGCUGAUAUCUAUUCUAGAGUCAAACACCUUUGUAUUUUUGAUCAAUUGAGUCUUGACAUUUAUGAAGUGCCUUCGUAUAUAUGGAAUAUUUAUAGGGUCUUCUUGAUCAAAUCAAAAAUUUCAACCACCCUCAGUUGGGCCUAAUGGUAAAAAAAAAAAAAAAGACAUUUUAAUAAAUGAUCAAGAUGUUAUGAGUUCAAUCUAUAUUGGUCGGUUAGCAAAGAGUUAAUUACCCAUUAAUUUGUUUGACACAAAUAUUGUAAAGUUGUGCCACCAUGAGUUAACUCUUGCACCAAUACAUGUAGACAAGAAAUCCUAGGUCCUUGCAUUUAAUUACAAUAAAAAUGUUGUAAGGUUGUUUCGUGAAAUCUAUCAAGGUACGAGUCUGGACACUCACGACUAUUAGAAAAAAAACCAAACUAAACUAAACCAUGAUUUUGUAAUAAUCGAAUUUUGAAUUCUUUUAAAAUCAAAUUUGUCAUCUAAUUAGGUUUGGUUGGUUUUGGUGUUCACUCCUAAUAAUUACCCGAGAUGGGGGGUGAAAUUAUUGUCCUUGAGUUCUAGAAAAUAGUAUUGACUUGAGGGAUGAUAUCAAUGAUGGGGUUGUGGGAUAGUCAAAUGUUUCCAUUUUCUUACGAAGGAAAAACUUAAUCCAUCAGCUAAUCUAAUUUGACAAUCCCUAAAAAUAAGCUCAACGUGUUAUGACUAUUGUAUUGACUAGCAUGUCCCCAGAAUACUAAACUCAUAAAGAAACGUUGCUCUAAAUGCGUGUAUUUUAAUAUGAAGCUGACUAAUAAUGCUAAUAAAAUAUGAGAAAGAAAGAUCAUGAACGCAACAUGCUACACCUUCCAUCAAUAAGUAGAAGCUCUUCUUCCUACUUUUAUAUCUGGUCCAUUUUUAUUGGUGCCUUGAUGACAUACUGAAUAAAUAGAUAGGCCUACUUUUUUUUUUUUUUUUUCAAUGUAGAAAUGACAUGGCAAAAAAAUAAAAAUUCUUAGUGAUAUUUCACCCAUUUUUUGAAGAAAAAGAUAGAAGGCAUAACAAAUAAUCUCGCAGUUUAUACCAGGAAAGAUAAUGCAUACCUAUGUGGGCUUGCAUUAAUCUUUGUUGCUCGACUCCAAGCAUUAAAAUAUAUAAUAAAGGUUGAUUAGUAAUAUCGAAACCUGCAGCACAACAUCCUUCGUACUUUCCUCUAAAUAAAGAAAUCAAUGAAAAUUAACCCAUCAUUAGUGCAUAAUUUAAUGUGUUCUUAUUAAACACAUACAUCUAUUAUAAAGCAUUGGCUAGUUUUUAGGGAAAGGUAAAUUUUAUUUUACAGAUACAAGUCUAUUUAGAUGAGUUGGAAUUGCAUCUUUUCAAGUCUAAAAAAUUAUGUCAUAGUAAGUUUGCAUGCUUACUUCUUGUUGAAGCUUCUGUAUUAAGAUUCCUGGGAGCCCAAAAACUUUCCUUUAACUGCUUUCCAACAUGUUCACCGAGUUUAAUCAUGGAUAAUUCCCAUGAAAUAUGGAAACGGCUGAGAACUUGAUCUAAUCAGCAGUUAUAUUAUUAUCAUCGGCAGCUUGUAGCAUCAGCUUGUAGAGAUAAAAUCCGCCAUGAUGGCAGCCCGGCAUUUUCAACGUCAUGUUCUCUACAUCAACCUGAAAAAGGUGAACUCAUAAAUUGGGGAUUCUAAAAACCAAUUUGUGAAAAAAAAAUGUUAAGAUGUGCUCACAAUUCUAGCACCAUUAUUUCAUAGUCCUAGCCAAAAGUCGAUGGAUUAAAUAAAAUUCGGAAUCUUUAAUGAGGAAGAUUUGAGAGGUGACUUGAUAAAACCGUCUUCUUUACGGUUGCAUCAUUAAUGCAAUUUUGAAUAUGAGAAUUGUUAGCUUCCGGUGCCCUUGUAGGUUUUAGAUCUUCAUGAAAGUUGUAUUACCUGUUCAACAAAACAGGUCUUGACGUUGAAUCUUUCAGGAAGGGAUUGGGCAGAAAAGUAUCGACUAACUAAUAGGUGGAAUGAAUUUCAAAGUAGGCUCUCAAGGGGAUUUUUUUCUAGAGCUGGAAUGCAAUCGGGAUAAAUGGGACUGAGAAGUGUUGGAAAGCGUGAGAAUAAAAAACUGAACUAAAAUGAGAUAGUGAAGCAUGAAAACAGUGCAAAAGAGAUUUGGAUUGAAAACUAUCCGAACGAAAUGAGUUGUGUGUUACAAAUUGAGGUCAAAAUGUUCAAUCUAAACAUGAGUUUUGGAUUAUAUUAAAUUACAAAUCCAUCCCAUUGCAGGCCACUAAACAAUCUCCAAGUGUCCACCAAAGAUUCUCUGUUUCAACUUCUAUACACCAUGUCUCGCUUCAUCUUUAAUUUGUCAUUUGACAAUGACAUAUAAAGAACAGCCCACUAGAUAGAAGCCCCAAAGCAUAGAAAAGGCUUCAAGUCCAAAAGAUAACAUGAUUACAAUAGGCCUUAUAGGCCACCGCCCAUAAGGAAGAAUUAAAACAUAUAUUAUCUCAAAGAACAUCCUCUGAAGCCAUUUUGAAUGCUCUUGGAGGACAAUUAACUUGAGCUCAACAACUAAUGAAAGCUUCAAUAGGGUGUAUCGAAGGGACGUGAAUUCUUGUUUAGGGCUUGCCGUUUCUAGAAACUAUAACCAGAUCGACACAAGAGUGUAUCAUUAGCUAGGUUAAUAAGUAAAGCAGGUGCCAAAAGAUAUUAUGGUCCUUCGUUAGUUUUGGAAAGGUAACCUUCAAACUUGACUUACCUACAACAGCAGGGAACCACUCCGCUUCCAUGUUAACAGCUAUAACUCACCAAGGACACCAACUUGAACCCAACACAGCAUUACCCCUUGGCUUGAUUCGAAUUUUGAGCUUCAACAAUAACCAGAAAAAUGUUGGAAGUUUGUCCCUCAACACAUUACAAAGGGAACUGAAUGUCCUUAUUCAGUGGAAGAAAUAUAAUGAGAAGAAACUAUAUGUGAAGAAUUCAAGUGACCGUCCAAGCUAUUUCCCAAUUUCCACCUUCAAACCUUCAAAAACAGCGUGAAACUCUAGGUCUCUCCUAUUGAAAAAAUUAAAGAAACAUUGUCUCCAAUGCAUUGAACAUGAUCAAAGAAAGUUACUCUGUCAUCCAUACAGGCAAGAAUAGAAGCUUCAGAAGGGCAUGGGAGUUUUUUCCUUAUGUAAACUCUGAUGGUAAUAAAAAAUGAAGAGAUAGGGACACACGAAGGGAAAAUAGUAAGCAUGAAGAGGGUGAGUGGAGAGGAGUCAAUGGCGUUAGGAUCUCUAACUUCAUUUUGGAAAGCAAAAGACCCCUCAAAUGUAAGGUAGUUUUGUAAGUAUUCCUUGCGAAUGAUAUUAAAUUAACUUCCCUAGCUCUAUAAUCAUAAUUCAUGUAUGUUUCAGCUUCAAAC